rfam:Weissella kandleri strain DSM 20593 Scaffold2, whole genome shotgun sequence.
GCGGACGUGGCGGAAUUGGCAGACGCGCAGGACUAAGGAUCCUGUGGUAGAAAUACCGUGCGGGUUCGACCCCCGCCGCCCGCA